rnacentral:tRNA from 2 species
CCCCCCGUAGCCCAAUUGGCAGAGGCAGCCGACUUAAACUCGGCCCAGUCUCGGUUCGAGUCCGAGCGGGGGGA